GUGCUCACACCGGCAGCACAUAUACUAAAAUUGGAACAAUACGGAGAAGAUUAGCCUGGCCCCUGCACAAGGAAAUUCGUGAAGGGUUCCUUAUUUUU
ensembl:snRNA U6 U6 spliceosomal RNA